GGGGUUGUGGUUGAAGUGGUACAAUGCUCACCUAGCACAUGUGAGGCCCUGGGUUCAAUCCUCAGCACCACA
rnacentral:tRNA from 1 species